rnacentral:rRNA from 1 species
GACGGAGGAUGCAAGUGUUAUCCGGAAUCACUGGGCGUAAAGCGUCUGUAGGUGGUUUAAAAAGUCCACUGUUAAAAAUUGAAGCUUAACUUCAAAGAUGCCGUGGAAACUUUUAAACUUGAGUAUGGUAGGGGUAGAGGGAAUUUCCAGUGGAGCGGUGAAAUGCGUAGAUAUUGGGAAGAACACCGGUGGCGAAGGCGGCCAUCUGGACCGCAACUGACGCUGAGGCGCGAAAGCGUGGGGAGCAAACAGG